AAGGGAGCCCCGGAUCCUGGGCUGUGUCCCCUAGCACCUUGGGCUCCUGGGUCUGUGCCUCUAGAAUCGCGCUCCCGGGCCGCGCAGUCCCCU
rnacentral:pre_miRNA from 1 species